UUUAUUUUAUCUUAGAUAUUUUUAAUUAAUUUUUUUUAUAAAUAUUUUGCUUUAUACCUUAAAGCAUGUUUUACAAUAUCGUAUUAUGUGCUAAAUUUGUUCUCUAUUUUUAUUUGAAAUUUUGUUUUGUUUUUAGAUCAGAACAAUAGGUAUUAUGUUAGUUUUAGUAUUUUAAGUAUUUUGUAAUAUUUCAGUAGAAUAUUUGCCAAAUAAUUUUCUACACUCUACAGAACUUUUAUAACAAAAUCAGCCAAACACUCUACAACUUUUAGAAUAGCAUUAUGCCAAAUAGCUCAGCCAAACAGGACCACAAUGUUUCUUGGUAAAGCACUACUCAAAGAGCACCUCAUCAAUCUGCUACAGCUGGGCGGAAAACAAGCUUAAAUGUUUACCAAGACUGGGCAAUUUGAAGGCCUAAAGGAAUUACAAGGAAUUGAUUCGAAUCGUGAGAGAGGAAAGGAGAGGAGAGCUGAGUCUUGAGAGUGGAAAGGAGAUGUUACCUGAAUUUCCAUCUAAGUGAUAAGUUGAAUCUGAGUCUCUUUAACUUGGUUUUUUUUUUGGCUUUUCUUAGUCGUCCAAUAUUUUUCCCUGAAAAAUAUGAUAUAUACUAUUCUAUGGUAACAUAUACACUACGUUCUUCUUUAGGAAUGGCUAUGCUUUUCUUCUUCCUUAGCAAUGUUUGGCAAAAGAAAAAGGAUAAUCUGAGUUAGCACCUAUUUAUCCCCUAAUCAUGAAGUGCCCCAUUCUUUCGGUAUGUUAUUUCUGAAUUCUUUCUGCAUUUUUUGGAUCCCUUAAACUGUUGUGCACCAUUUCUUAAAAAUAUUAUUAUUUCUCGUAAGCAUAGUGAAGUGGUGCAUUUCAAGGUGCAUCUCCUAAAUACAUAGCAUUGUUUUCUGACAAGAACUUCCAUUAUCAUGCAUGCACGCUUGUCUAGUGUUUAGUCUGAUCUUUGCAUUAUUGCUUAAGAAAAGACCCAUGACUUCAUAAUAUUUGCUAUCAUGACAGAUCCUUAUUCUGCUGCAAUUGGACUCCAUGACUUGGAUGCUAUCUAUUGUUGAAAUUUGGAUCAAGGACCCUCCUUGUCGAGGCAAGAUGAAAGCCCUAGGCUACUUCUUGGUGCUAAAAUCCUAUAAUUGCUUCAUCGACAGGUGCAAUUUGAUUUUUCUGCAUUACUAGACCGAAAAUUAUUUGGUGUUAAUUGGCAAUGUCAGUUUGCUUCAAUCCUUUUUCCUAUAGGUUGUUGCAUUCCUUUUAUAUCCUAAAAUAUGCAAGUUUACUAUAUCGUUCUUCCUAUAUAUGAUUAGAGUCUGUCUAUGUUUCAAAGAAAGCGCAGGAGAUCAGAAAAGAUAUACGCAUACUACCCAAUUCUCUUAGUCUAAUUCUUGCUUUAUUACUGAAGAAAAGACCCAUGAGUUUAUAAUAUUUUCUAUCAUGGCAGAUCUUUAUUCUGCAGCAAUCAGACCUCAUUACUUGGGAUGCAUUUACUGUUGAAAUUUGGAUCAACAGCCAGGGCAAGAGCAAAGCCCUAAGAUAAUUUGUUGUUGGUUAUCCUAAAACUGUAGAAAUGCUAUUUGAAUUUUUUUACAUUACUAGAGCGAAAAUUUCUUGGCAUCAGUUUGCAGUGUUGGUUUAGUUCAAUGCUUUUUUUUUUUUGCAUGUUGUUGGGUUCGUUUUAUAUCCUAAACUACGCCGCUUUACCAUAUGAUUCUUCCUGGAGUAUGGUUCUUCUACCUGCUUUAUACUUUGCUUAGGUUAUGUUCGGAUGUAUGAAUAUUUUGUUUGAUGUAUAAAUUUUUUGGAAUAAGAUAAAUUAUUUCUUAGGUGAAAUGUGUUUUUCUUACCAAAUAAUAGAUGUCAAAUUUUUUAAGGAGCAAAAAUCAAAUUCCCACCCUUCAACUAUGCAAGAAAAUCUGCAUACUAAGAAAUAUCCAAACAAGGCCUUAAUGAGAUAAAUAUUUCCUACGCCAUAUCUGAAUGCCAAAAUAAGAUAUCCAAUGAUAAUUUAUCUUAUAUGAUGAUUUUUUUGUGUGGUUAAAGGUUAGAAGUUUAAUUUUUGCUCCUUAAGGUCUUGUGUGGAUGAAUGAAUAUCUUAUUCGGUGUGUCUCAUUGAUUGACUUAAGAAAUUUGUAUAGUUGAUUGAUAAAGAGUGUGAUCAAAUAUUUAGAAUGGAAUAUUGAUCUUCAAAUUAUUUUUCAGAAUAAGAUAAAUCAUCUCUUAGGUGAACUAUGCUAUCCUACCGAAUUAUAGAUAACAAAAUUACUAAAGAAGUAAAAAAUUCAAAUUCCUUACUUAUAAUCAUAUUAGAAACUUCUCAUAUGGAAUAAGCUGUCCUUGGAUAACUUACUCUAACAUCCAAACAUGGCCUAAAAGGUCUUGAUAUUCAUAAUUUGUUAGGAUAUCAUAUUUCACUUACUAGGUAAUUUUAUAAUGUUCGGAAGAAAAGAUUUUAAGGCCAAAUGUGGUGUCUAUUCUAGGCAGUUGGUCACACUCCUUAUAUUCCAAAUACUACAUUCUUCUUAGGCUAAAUUACAGAAAAUUUUCUUGUCAAAAUUCGAUUUUUCACUUUCCUCCCUGUCAUUUAAAAACCUAUACUUUGCCCCCUUGCAAAAUGAAAAAUGUUCAUAAAGAGGGUACGGUGUGAACUGUGAUGAUAAAAUGACGAUUUUGCCCCUUACCAUAUUCACAGGAGAGAAGACUGAGGGCAUUUUUGGCAUAAAAAAAUGGCUAAAUUACAUAAAACCUUUCUGUCAAAAUUUGAUUUUUCACUUUCCCUUCCUGUCAUUUAAAAACCUACACUUUGCCCCCUUGUAAAAUGAAAAAUGUUCACUUCAUCCCCUGCCGUUAGUAAUCCGUGAGGAUUCCGUUUAUAAAAUAUUAUUAUGUAUUUUUUUAUGCCAAAAAUGUCCUUAGUCUUCUCUCCUGUGAACAUGGUGAGGGGUAAAAUGGUGAGGGGCAAAAUGAUCAUUUUAUCAUCAUAGUUCACACCGUACCCUCCUAUGAACAUUUUUCAUUUUACAAGGGGGCAAACUGUAGGUUUUUAAAUGACAGGGGAGGAAGUGGAAAAUCGAAUUUUGACAGGGGGGUUUUCUGUAAUUUAGCCUAAAAAAAUAUAUAAUAAUAUUUUAUAAACGGAAUCCUAACGGAUUACUAACGACAGGGGGCGAAGUGAACAUUUUUCAUUUUACAAGAGGGCAAAGUGUAGGUUUUUAAAUGACAGAGGGAAAAGUGAAAAAUUGAGUUUUGACAGGAGGAUUUUAUGUAAUUUAGCCUUCUUCUUAAGUGAAUUGAGGUGAUAUAUUGCAUAAGAUAUUCUUGCAUCGAGACAAGGCCUUAGCAAUGGAAAAUAUCUUUUGUCUAUAAGCCAUGUUGAGUUGGGACUAUUUUAUUUUGUUGCUUUUUCAUGGGCCACUAGUUAAGGGGACCCGCGCGAUGCGGUGGAAAGCCAAUAUAAUAGUAAACUAUUAUAACUAUUAACAUCACUUUUUUUCCUAUUAUGCAUUAAUACUUUUAAAUAUUAUUUAUCUCAGUAUUGAAUAAUUGAAAAUUAAAGAAUAAAAUUAAAUUAUAUUUCUUUCUAGAAAUAUUUAAACCUAAUAAGUAAAAUGAAUAAAUCAGUUUAAAAUAAAACAAAAGCUCAUUACAGUAUUAAAAAGAUGAAUAAUAUUUUCUAUUAUUAUCAAGAUAGAAUUUACAAAUAAAAAAAUAUUAAAAAAUUAAUUGAAGCGAAAGUAUUAUCUUUGGUAUUCUUAGCGAUAACGUCUUUAUUGUGCCCUCGUUAACUUUUAUCGUCACGCAUAUAACUAAUAAAGUAUUUGAUUCCUAAAUUUUAGAUUAGUGCAGAAAUCAGUAGAUAAUUAUCAAAAGCACAAAAAAUAAGAUUAAUCAAAUGGCAUUCGAAAUCAAAAUAGAAAUUUUUACACUGUAAAAAGAUUCAACUACCAAAUAAAUAUUCUAAUAUUAUAUAUUAGGAAAAAAAUAAAUUC
rnacentral:lncRNA from 1 species